ACUACGGGUGGCAGCAGUGAGGGAUAUUGGUCAAUGGGGGAAACCCUGAACCAGCAAAGCCGCGUGAAGGAAGACGGUUUUCGGAUUGUAAAACUCUGUCCUCUGUGAAGAUAAUGACGGUAGCAGAGGAGGAAGCUCCGGCUAACUACGUGCCAGAAGCCGCGGUAAUACGUAGGGAGCAAGCGUUGACCGGAUUUACUGGGUGUAAAGGGUGCGUAGGCGGCUUUGCAAGUCAGAAGUGAAAUCCAUGGGCUUAACCCAUGAACUGCUUUUGAAACUGCAGAGCUUGAGUAGAGUAGAGGUAGGCGGAAUUCCCGGUGUAGCGGUGAAAUGCGUAGAGAUCGGGAGGAACACCAGUGGCGAAGGCGGUCUGCUGGGCUCUAACUGACGCUGAGGCACGAAAGCGUGGGUAGCAAACAGGAUUAGAUACCCUUGUAGUC
rnacentral:rRNA from 1 species